rnacentral:rRNA from 1 species
GGGUUUGUUGCCAUGGGCGUAUGGUGGAUGCCUUGGCAGGCAGUACCGAUGAAGGACGUGUGGGGCCGCGAUAGGCCUCGGGGAGCCGCCGACAGGGCUUUGAUCCGAGGGUGUCCGAAUGGGGUAACCCGCCGGCUGUUGUGGGCCGGCACCGCAGGAAUGUUUGCGGGGGGUACGCAGGGAAGUGAAACAUCUCAGUACCUGCAGGAAAGGAUACUCCGUGAGUAGUGGCGAGCGAAAGCGGAUGAUGGCUAAACCGGUGCCGUGUGAUACCCGUCGGGGGUUGCGGUAUCGGUGUCGUGGGAGCGGCCGUGCCGGUGCCGACGCGCCGGCCGCCAGUUGGAGAAAACCGUGUGUGAGGCGAACCGGGUUGGAUACCGGGCCGUAGAGGGUGAUGGCCCCGUAGCCGAACGCGCAUGGUCUGGUGGUGUCGUGUCCCGAGUAGCGCGGGCCUCGUGGAAUCCCGUGUGAAUCCGCCCAGACCGUUGGGUAAGCCUGAGUAUAUCUGUCUGACCGAUAGUGUACCAGUACCGUGAGGGAAAGGUGAAAAGCACCCCGGGAGGGGAGUGAAAGAGUUCCUGAAACCGUGCGCCUACGAACCGUCGGAGCCCCCGUGUGGGGUGACGGCGUGCCUAUCGAAAAAUGAGUCUGCGAGUCAGUGGCAUGUGGCGAGCCUAAGCCGUUGGGGUGGAGGCGUAGCGAAAGCGAGUCUUAAAAGGCGUUCCAGUCGCGUGUCCUGGACCCGAAGCGGGAUGAUCUAGCCCUGGGCAGGUUGAAGCGCGGGUAAGACCGCGUGGAGGACCGCACCCACUUAGGUUGAAAACUGAGGGGAUGACCUGGGGUUAGGGGUGAAAGGCCAAUCAAAUUCCGUGAUAGCUGGUUCUCUCCGAAAUGCAUUUAGGUGCAGCGUUGGUUGAUUGCGCGCAGGGGGUAGAGCGACUGGAUGCUUGCGGGCCCGUACCGGGUACCAAUAGCAACCAAACUCCGAAUACCUGUCGUGUGUAUGCCAGCAGUGAGUCGGCGGGGGAUAAGCUCCGUCGUCGAGGGGGAGACAGCCCUGACCGUCGUCUAAGGUCCCCAAGCGCGUGCUAAGUGGGAAAGGAUGUGGAGUCGCAUAGACAGCCAGGAGGUUGGCUCAGAAGCAGCCAUCCUUGAAAGAGUGCGUAACAGCUCACUGGUCUAGUGGUUCCGCGCCGACAAUGUAGCGGGGCUCAAGCACGCCACCGAAGACGCGGCAACAACCCUUGUGGUUGUUGGGUAGGAGAGCGUCCCAUGCUGGGUUGAAGCCGCGGAGUGAUCCUGUGGUGGACCGUAUGGGAGUGAGAAUGCAGACAUGAGUAGCGAGAGCAAGGUGAGGAUCCUUGCCGCUGGAUGACCAAGGGUUCCAGGGCCACGUUCGUCGUCCCUGGGUGAGUCGGGUCCUAAGGCGAGGCCGACAGGCGUAGUCGAAUGGAUGAACGGGUUGAUAUUCCCGUACCGGCCCUUUGACCGAUCAACGGCCCCCUGGCCGAACACACAUUUCCGUGUUGGUUCCCAUGCCUUUCGGGGUGUGGGGCGAUGCAUGGGUCUGUGUGGGGUGCCUUGGGGUCGAGCGCGUGGAGUGACGCGGACGGGUAGCCGGCCGGGGAGGUGGUUUUCCCUGGUCAAGCGUGUGGCCCCGCCCCCAGGCAAAUCCGGGGGCAUCAUGGGGUGAGGCGUGAUGAUGGGGGCCCUUGUGGCCCGAUAUCCGGUGAUCCCGUCGGCCGAGAAAAGCUUCGGCGUGAGGUCUUGGGCCGCUCGUACCCCAAACCGACACAGGUGGUCAGGUAGAGUAUACCAAAGCGAGCGAGCGAAUCCUGGUCAAGGAACUCGGCAAACCGCUCCCGUGCCUUCGGCAUAAGGGAGACCCCCCGCGGUGACGGGCCCUCGCGGCCCUCGAGCGGUGGGGGGUGGCACAAGCCAGGGGGUAGCGACUGUUUACCAAAAACACAGGUGCAUGCCAAGACGCAAGUCGCCGUAUAUGCACUGACGCCUGCCCGGUGCCGGAAGGUUAAGAGGAUCCAUCAGCGCGGCUUGCCGCGCGAAGUGGUGAAUUCAAGCCCCGGUAAACGGCGGUGGUAACUAUAACCAUCCUAAGGUAGCGAAAUUCCUUGUCGGGUAAGUUCCGACCUGCACGAAUGGCGUAA